CCUACGGGGGGCAGCAGUGGGGAAUAUUGGGCAAUGGGCGAAAGCCUGACCCAGCAAUGCCGCGUGAAUGAAGAAGGUCUUAGGAUUGUAAAAUUCUGUCCUAUGGGAAGAAACAAAUGACGGUACCAUAGGAGGAAGCCCCGGCUAACUACGUGCCAGCAGCCGCGGUAAUAUGUAGGGGGCGAGCGUUGUCCGGAUUUAUUGGGUUUAAAGGGUGCGUAGGCGGGAUUUUAAGUUAGUGGUAAAACGUCGGGGCUUCACCUUGAUUGGCCAUUAAAACUGGAGUAAUAGAGUACAGACGAGGG
rnacentral:rRNA from 1 species